rnacentral:rRNA from 1 species
GUGGGGAAUUUUGGACAAUGGGCGCAAGCCUGAUCCAGCAAUGCCGCGUGCAGGAAGAAGGCCUUCGGGUUGUAAACUGCUUUUGUACGGAACGAAACGGUCUGGGUUAAUACCCUGGACUAAUGACGGUACCGUAAGAAUAAGCACCGGCUAACUACGUGCCAGCAGCCGCGGUAAUACGUAGGGUGCAAGCGUUAAUCGGAAUUACUGGGCGUAAAGCGUGCGCAGGCGGUUUUGUAAGACAGGCGUGAAAUCCCCGGGCUCAACCUGGGAAUUGCGCUUGUGACUGCAAGGCUGGAGUGCGGCAGAGGGGGAUGGAAUUCCGCGUGUAGCAGUGAAAUGCGUAGAUAUGCGGAGGAACACCGAUGGCGAAGGCAAUCCCCUGGGCCUGCACUGACGCUCAUGCACGAAAGCGUGGGGAGCAAACAGGAUUAGAUACCCUUGUAGUCC